rnacentral:lncRNA from 1 species
CUCAGAUUUGCCUUUUCUCAGACAAAAGAGAAAGUUUGCAAAGGCUGCGUCAAUAUUUGUGCAAAGGACCCAAAGGGUAAUUUCACACAGACACAAAGUCACCAUGCCUGGAAACAGAUCUUCACUCAAUGUCUGAUUUCAGUUGCUGAAAACAUCACUGCCUUGUUAUCAAAGAGGAGAAGAAGAAGAAAGAAGCUCAUAAUUGAGACGAAGGGAGUAUAUAUAUAUAUAUGUAUGUAUGUAUGUAUGUAUGUAUGUAUGUGUGUAUAUGUGAAGAGCUGUUGACAAAUUUUGCUGAGAAGGAUCAUCGGCUUGCCCAGCAACUCAGAGUAGCAACAGUCUCGAGACAACCUUACCUCUGAGUGUGGAGCCUCAUACUUAAUCUAACGACUAAUGAGUGUGUAAACCCUGAUUGCAGGUUUCAUAGGAAGGCUCAGAUUCACCUUUUUCUCAAACAAGAGGCAGAAGAGAAGAGCCUCGUCAUGGCUGCAUAACCAGUAUCUGUACAAUGGACCACAAUGGUAUUUUCAAACAGAUAAUGAAACACCUUGCCAGUAAUAAGGCUCUUCACCCUGUUGUCUGAUUU